AUUGAACGCUGGCGGCAGGCCUAACACAUGCAAGUCGAGCGGAUGAAGGGAGCUUGCUCCUGGAUUCAGCGGCGGACGGGUGAGUAAUGCCUAGGAAUCUGCCUGGUAGUGGGGGAUAACGUCCGGAAACGGGCGCUAAUACCGCAUACGUCCUGAGGGAGAAAGUGGGGGAUCUUCGGACCUCACGCUAUCAGAUGAGCCUAGGUGGGAUUCGCUAGUUGGUGGGGUAAAGGCCUACCAAGGCGAGGAUCCGUAACUGGUCUGAGAGGAUGAUCAGUCACACUGGAAGUGAGACACGGUCCAGACUCCUACGGGAGGCAGCAGUGGGGAAUAUUGGACAAUGGGCGAAAGCCUGAUCCAGCCAUGCCGCGUGUGUGAAGAAGGUCUUCGGAUUGUAAAGCACGUUAAGUUGGGAGGAAGGGCAGUAAGUUAAUACCUUGCUGUUUUGACGUUACCAACAGAAUAAGCACCGGCUAACUUCGUG
rnacentral:rRNA from 1 species